rnacentral:rRNA from 1 species
CUCUGGCCUCAAAUCAGGUAGGACUACCCGCUGAACUUAAGCAUAUCAAUAAGCGGAGGAAAAGAAACUAACAAGGAUUCCCCUAGUAACGGCGAGUGAACCGGGAAAAGCUCAAAUUUGAAAUCUGGCUGUCUUCGAUAGUCCGAGUUGUAAUCUAUAGAAGCGUUUUCCGUGCUGAACUGUGUCUAAGUCCCUUGGAACAGGGUAUCAAAGAGGGUGAUAAUCCCGUACUUGACACAACCAUCAGUGCUCUGUGAUACGUUCUCUACGAGUCGAGUUGUUGG